UCAUUAUUGAAUAAACUUGAACAAGCUGAAAAUUCUUCUGCUGGCUUCUUUGGAGGCAUGUGCACGCUUGUCAUCUUUAUCUUUCCAGCUGUGCACUUAUUGUAGAUCUUGGAAGUUUGAUUUAUUUUCAAUAGAUUAAGGAUUGCUGUACUUUUACAAAAAAGGUCAGCUUUGCCUUGUAUUUCAAGAUCUAUGUUUAUUACAAACCUUUUAAUGUUUAGAAUGUUGAAAAGAGUUGAUAAUAAAUUAUACAACUUUCAGCAACGGAUCUCUUGGCUCUCGCAUCGAUGAAGAACGCAGCGAAAUGCGAUAAGUAAUGUGAAUUGCAGAAUUCAGUGAAUCAUCAAAUUUUUGAACGCAUCUUGCGCUUCUUGGUAUUCUGAGGAGCAUGCCUGUUUGAGUGUCAUUAAAUUCUCAACCAUAUUAAAUUCUUUUGAUAUGGCUUGGUUGUUGGAAGCCUGCAGGUCUUUAGAUCUGCUCUUCUAAAAUGCAUUAGUGGUAUUUGUGCAGAAGCUACUUAUAGAUGUGAUAAUUAAUUACUUACAUCUCUGUAGCUGUGAUCAUACCGCUACUAACAAAAGUGAACUUGUUUAAUAUACUUGACCUCAAAUCAGGUAGGACUACCCGCUGAACUUAAGCAUAUCAAUAAGCGGAGGAAAAGAAACUAACAAGGAUUCCCUUAGUAACUGCGAGUGAAGUGGGAAAAGCUCAAAUUUGAAAUCUGGCAGUUCUUGACUGUCCGAGUUGUAAUCUAGAGAAGUGUUACCAGUGCUGGACCAUGUACAAGUCUUCUGGAAUGGAGUAUCAUAGAGGGUGAGAAUCCCGUCUUUGACAUGGACUACCAGUGCAGUAUGGUGUGCUCUCAAAGAGUCGAGUUGUUUGGGAAUGCAGCUCAAAAUGGGUGGUAAAUGCCAUCUAAAGCUAAAUAUUGGCGAGAGACCGAUAGUGAACAAGUACCGUGAGGGAAAGAUGAAAAGAACUUUGGAAAGAGAGUUAAACAGUACGUGAAAUUGCUGAAAGGGAAACGCUUGAAGUCAGUCACAUUGGCUAGAAAUCAGCCUUGCUUUUGCUGGGUGUUUUUUCUUGCUUAAUGGGUCAGCAUCAAUUUUGACUGCUGGAUAAAGUCUUUGGGAAUGUGGCAUCUUUGGAUGUGUUAUAGCCCAUUGUUGCAUACAGUAGUUGGGAUUGAGGAACUCAGCAUGCCACAAGGCCAGGUAUUAAACCAUGUUCAUGCUUAGGAUGCUGGCAUAAUGGCUUUAAUUGACCCGUCUUGAAACACGGACCAAGGAGUCUAACAUGCUUGCGAGUGUUUGAGUGGAAAACUCAUUCGCAUAAUGAAAGUGAAAGUCGAGAUCUUCAUUUGAUGAGCAUCGAUGCCCGGACCAGACCUUUUGUGACGGAUCUGCGGUAGAGCAUGCAUGUUGGGACCCGAAAGAUGGUGAACUAUGCCUGAAUAGGGUGAAGCCAGAGGAAACUCUGGUGGAGGCUCGUAGCGAU
rnacentral:rRNA from 1 species